GUUUGUAUUCUCUGGCCCAAAAAAUCAGGCGAACAAGCUGACAAUCAUGAGUUGGGUUACACGUUGGCCCAUGAUCAAUAUACAAGUGUGGCCUACCUGAUGAGUAGGUCACACUUGAGUAGGUACAUGCGGGCACAAUGGGGCUUGCCUGAUGAAGGGUCUGAAUAUUGUACAAGUCUCAGUCUAGCAUAUGUACCUGUGAGCACGAUUCAAACAAUACUCAGGGCCCUUUAUCUGUUGAACAUCGGAAAGUUGUCUUAGUUAGCUUGCAAAACCUCUUCAUCCAUAACAGUGGAUCCAUUGGAGAAUUCCCCAAAGUCAUGUUUUUAUGUGGUACAGAUCUACAUGAAUCUUUUAGCAUCACUGGAGCUUGGAUUCCCGAGCAGGUAUGGAUUAUCUGUAGAGACUAUGGUGUCAUCUGCAUCUGUAGAGAAGGGAAAGACGUUGAGAAGAUCAUCUCUGCAUGAGAUUUUAUAUGAAAAUAAGUCAAUUCUGAUCCGCUCAUCUUGAUCAGUAACAUGUAAGACAGGAACAAUCCCCGCCGUGUGUUUGUCAUUGCAGGGAAUGCAUAAUGCAAGGAUUGUCUGUGAAAUAUCUGACUGCAGAUGAAAUCAUCGAUUACAUUGGCGAGCAGUGGCUCUAUUUCGACACGGGCACCAGAUUUUUAAAUUAUGGAGCUAUGGAGUUCUGAUGGAAUGCAGCGCUAGCAUUACAGUCCCAGUGCCCACUCUUAGAUGGUGCAUAUGUGAUUGAUCUAGGCCCUUCAUUAGGUAGUGCACACUGUAAAGGUUGGUUGUCCUUGUAAGUAUCACAUGGUGGUAAAACUUGGCUGAUUCAUUCACUUGGUGGGCCAAAGCUAUAUGUGGGGUCAGAUAGAUGGUCUUCCAUUAAUUUACAGUGUGGCCUA